GUUAAGCUACUAAGGGCGUACGGUGGAUGCCUUGGCACGAGAAGGCGACGAAGGACGUGGUAAGCUGCGAUAAGCCUCGGGGAGCUGCAAACGAGCCUUGAUCCGGGGAUUUCCGAAUGGGGAAACCCGACGGGGGGAAUGCCCCGUCACCCUCGACUGAAUUCAUAGGUCGAGGGAGCGAUACGCAGGGAACUGAAACAUCUAAGUACCUGCAGGAAAAGAAAACAAAAGUGAUUCCCAGAGUAGCGGCGAGCGAAAUGGGACGAGCCCAAACCGUCGGAUCUCACCGAUCUGACGGGGUUGUAGGGCCUCCGCCAAGCGAUUCGUAACUCGAUAGUCGAACGGUCUGGAAAGUCCGGCCAUAGAAGGUGAUAGCCCUGUAAACGAAAUCGAAUGCGACGCUGGAGGUACCUGAGUACCACGGGACACGUGAAAUCCCGUGGGAACCUGGGAGGACCACCUUCCAAGGCUAAAUACUCUCUCGUGACCGAUAGCGAACCAGUACCGUAAGGGAAAGGUGAAAAGAACCCCGAGAGGGGAGUGAAAUAGUCCCUGAAACCGUAUGCCUACAAGCUGUGGAAGGGCGGUGGUUUAGUCCCGCCUGACCGCGUGCCUUUUGCAUAAUGAUCCGGCGAGUUGUCCUCAGCAGCGCUAGAUUAAGGUGUUCAGCACCGGAGUCGGAGCGAAAGCGAGUCCUAAUUGGGCGUUAAGUUGUUGGGGGCAGACCCGAAACUGAGUGAGCUACCCAUGGCCAGGGUGAAGCAGGUGUAACAGCCUGUGAAGGCCCGAACCAGUGUAGGUUGAAAACUGCUUGGAUGAGCUGUGGGUAGGGGUGAAAGGCCAAUCAAACUCAGAGAUAGCUGGUUCUCCCCGAAAUCGUUUUUGGACGAGCCUUGAAUGGUUAGUCAUGGUGGUAAAGCACUGAUUGGACUAGGGGCCCUACCAGGUUACCGAACCCAGUCAAACUCUGAAUGCCGUGACUCAAAGUUCAGGAGUCAGACAGUGGGGGAUAAGCUUCAUUGUCGAAAGGGAAACAGCCCAGAUCGCCGGCUAAGGUCCCAAAAUAAAUGCUAAGUGGUAAAGGUUGUUAGAAUAGCUGGACAGCUAGGAUGUUGGCUUAGAAGCAGCCAUUCAUUUAAAGAGUGCGUAAUAGCUCACUAGCCGAUUGUUCUAGCGCCGAUAAUUCAACGGGGCUUAAGCAUUUUACCGAAGCCGCGAAUUCAUGCCCUCGGGUAUGGAUGGUAGGGGAGCAUUCCGCAGUAGGAUGAAGGUCGAUCGUAAGGACGACUGGACGAGGCGGAAGAGAGUAUGCCGGAACGAGUAGCGAUAAAACGGGUGAAAACCCCGUUCGCCGAAAGCCUAAGGUUUCCUGGGCAAGGUCAAUCCGCUCAGGGUUAGUCGGUCCCUAAGCCGAGGCCGAAAGGCGUAGGUGAUGGAUAACAGGUUAAUAUUCCUGUACCACCUUAUUCACGUUAUGAGCAUGGGGUGACGCAGAAGGAACGGCCAGCCGGCUGCUGGAAUAGCCGGUCUAAGCCCGUAGGUGAGUUCCCAGGCAAAUCCGGGAACUAUUAACACUGAGGGGUGAUAGGGCGCCUGCCUCUGGUAGGCUGAAGUGGUCUGCACCAUACUGCCAAGAAAAACCUCGUUUGCCAGUGAUUAAGGUGACCGUACCGUAAACGGACACACGUAGGCGAGGAGAGUAUCCUCAGGCGCUCGAGAGAACCCUCGUUAAGGAACUCGGCAAGUUAGUCCCGUAACUUCGGAAGAAGGGAUGCCCGGAACGGUGAAGUUCUUUACGAAUGAAGCUGUUCGGGGCCGCAGUGAAAGGGGCCAAGCGACUGUUUAACAAAAACACAGGACUCUGCAAAAUCGAAAGAUGACGUAUAGGGUCUGACGCCUGCCCGGUGCCGGAAGGUUAAGAGGAGAUGUCAUUCGCAAGAAGAAGCAUUGAAUUGAAGCCCCGGUAAACGGCGGCCGUAACUAUAACGGUCCUAAGGUAGCGAAAUUCCUUGUCGGGUAAGUUCCGACCUGCACGAAUGGCGUAAC
rnacentral:rRNA from 1 species